CUUUUAUUACUACGAUAUCGUAUCUAUCUAAGUUGAUAAAAUGUUUCAUGGGUUAUCACGAGGACGAGGUAUGUGAUGUCGAAAUGCGUGUGGUCCAUUCGGUUUAUUAAGUCCACCCUCGACUAAAAGAGCCCUAAGGCGCUACGAUAUUUCGGCACGUGAAACAAGCGCAAAGCGAGUGAGAGAUGGAGCGGACGGGUGUGGGGAAUGGGGGGUCGAGAGGAGAGGGAGAAAAAGAUUAAUACGCAGGUAAUUGAUAUUUUCCUGAUAAUUAAUAUUGCAAUAAUCUUUAUACGGCAAUAAUAACGUUUCAAUAAUAUUGUAAUAAUAUAAUUUAUAGUAUUAAAUAUUGUGAAUAUUUCAAUGAGAUAUGAAAUGACUAAAGUUUUACGAAUUCUUUUUAUUUCUUUUUGGCCCCAUUCAUUUCUCCCCAACCCUCGCUCCCGUCCCCGCCCUCCUUGUUUUCUUUCUGUCUUUUUUUUUUCUUUUUGGUCUUGUUUUUUUUUUUUUU